GUACACUGAUGGUACUGAGGUAAAUGUCAAAGGUAAAUGUAGUGUACAGCUAGUCCCUGGUCCCCCUUACAGCUGUGUUAUGUAACAAGGAGAGUCACUCAAGUGUUUCCGGAGAACAAGGAGUCGCUGAAAUGGUGGAGCAAAGCAUCAGCAUGUGGAGAGAAUAUUGUGCGGAUCAAUGUCCCAGCGCCAUGCGGGAGGGUAAAGUGUACGGUCCUGUAAAUCAUUACAACACACUUGACAGACAAGUGGGAUUAAACUGCUCUGCAGCGUUACGAACGGGAAUGGCGUCGCGGUGCCGCCGCCGCUCUCGGCUUCGCUCGCCUACCUGUCUCGCUGCGAUGAGCGCCACUUCUCCUUCUCUCGGGUGUCCCCCCCGUCCCUCGAUCCCUCGGAGCGCUCCCGUCUGUGAGAUGUGUCUCGUGUCUUUUUCCAGAUGCACUUUGCUCGGGUCCACGAGGGCCGCAGAUAAGGAUCCUGCGCUGAAGCGACAGGUGAUGUGGAGUCCGACAUCCUUCGUCAGAUUGUGGAGCGAUGAUGAAAACGCUCUGUGCGUGAACCGCGUCACCUGUGUGAGCCCACAGAGCCAAGGAGUCGGUUAAAGGAGGAAAAAUAAUUGACACUUAACUCUGUGACGUCACACCUGACCUGUCUGGCCACAUAAUAACACAGGAGGUACAGUAAAACACUGGAUGUGAUCACCACCUUUACCUUUAACUUGACCUUUACUUUUACCAGAGGUCUAGAGGUCUCUGCGGGGGACAUACUCCAUUCCUCUUGUGAACCUAGCAUGUCACGCUGACCCUACAUAUCAGCAUAAUCCCAAAAUACUUCAUUUACCAUGGAGUACCCAGAGUCGGGUGGAGUGUUGAAGUACCAUUACUUUCAAAAAUGUAAGUACUUAUCCAAAAAUGUCCCUGCGAAAAAGUAAAAAAAAAAAAAAAAAAAUCAGGUAAAAAAAAGGUGACCCCAGUGCUGCAGGUACUUUGAUCCCCAUGAAGAUCUUUAAUGUUGUGGAUCAUGUUAACAGCUACAAUAUACAGUUUAAAGUAACUGUUCCAGUACAUUAAAUCUGCUGUGAAAAUAAAACUACAUAUUGUCCACUGGACUAAACA
rnacentral:lncRNA from 1 species